AUUGAACGCUGGCGGCAGGCCUAACACAUGCAAGUCGAACGGUAACAGGAAACAGCUUGCUGUUUCGCUGACGAGUGGCGGACGGGUGAGUAAUGUCUGGGAAACUGCCUGAUGGAGGGGGAUAACUACUGGAAACGGUAGCUAAUACCGCAUAACGUCGCAAGACCAAAGAGGGGGACCCUCGGGCCUCUUGCCAUCGGAUGUGCCCAGAUGGGAUUAGCUUGUUGGUGGGGUAACGGCUCACCAAGGCGACGAUCCCUAGCUGGUCUGAGAGGAUGACCAGCCACACUGGAACUGAGACACGGUCCAGACUCCUACGGGAGGCAGCAGUGGGGAAUAUUGCACAAUGGGCGCAAGCCUGAUGCAGCCAUGCGGCGUGUAUGAAGAAGGCCUUCGGGUUGUAAAGUACUUUCAGCGGGGAGGAAGGGAGUAAAGUUAAUACCUUUGCUCAUUGACGUUACCCGCAGAAGAAGCACCGGCUAACUCCGU
rnacentral:rRNA from 1 species